GCGUGCUUAACACAUGCAAGUCGAACGCUGAAGCCCUGGUGCUUGCACCGGGGUGGAUGAGUGGCGAACGGGUGAGUAACACGUGAGUAACCUGCCCCUGACUUCGGGAUAAGCCCGGGAAACUGGGUCUAAUACCGGAUAUGACCGUUCCUCGCAUGAGGGAUGGUGGAAAGUUGUUUCGGUUGGGGAUGGGCUCGCGGCCUAUCAGCUAGAUGGUGGGGUAAUGGCCCACCAUGGCGACGACGGGUAGCCGGCCUGAGAGGGCGACCGGCCACACUGGGACUGAGACACGGCCCAGACUCCUACGGGAGGCAGCAGUGGGGAAUAUUGCACAAUGGGGGAAACCCUGAUGCAGCGACGCAGCGUGCGGGAUGACGGCCUUCGGGUUGUAAACCGCUUUCAGCAGGGAAGAAGCCGCCCUUCGGGGUGGUGACGGUACCUGCAGAAGAAGUACCGGCUAACUACGUGCCAGCAGCCGCGGUAAUACGUAGGGUACGAGCGUUGUCCGGAAUUAUUGGGCGUAAAGAGCUCGUAGGUGGUUGGUCACGUCUGCUGUGGAAACGCAACGCUUAACGUUGCGCGUGCAGUGGGUACGGGCUGACUAGAGUGCAGUAGGGGAGUCUGGAAUUCCUGGUGUAGCGGUGAAAUGCGCAGAUAUCAGGAGGAACACCGGUGGCGAAGGCGGGACUCUGGGCUGUAACUGACACUGAGGAGCGAAAGCAUGGGGAGCGAACAGGAUUAGAUACCCUGGUAGUCCAUGCCGUAAACGUUGGGCACUAGGUGUGGGGGACAUUCCACGUUCUCCGCGCCGUAGCUAACGCAUUAAGUGCCCCGCC
rnacentral:rRNA from 1 species